rnacentral:rRNA from 1 species
GGGCCUGCACAAGCGGUGGAGCAUGUGGUUUAAUUCGAUGAUACGCGAGGAACCUUACCAGGGCUUAAAUGGGAAAUGACAGGGGCAGAGACGCCCCCUUCUUCGGACAUUUUUCAAGGUGCUGCAUGGUUGUCGUCAGCUCGUGCCGUGAGGUGUCAGGUUAAGUCCUAUAACGAGCGCAACCCCUACCGUUAGUUGCCAGCGUGUAAUGACGGGGACUCUAACGGAACUGCCGGUGCAAACCGUGAGGAAGGCGGGGACGACGUCAAGUCAUCACGGCCCUUACGUCCUGGCCACACACGUGCUACAAUGGUUGGUACAGAGGGCAGCUACCGGGUGACCGGAUGCGAA